GCUCAGAGCCCCAGCGCCAUGGGGCGCCCGGCGGGACGCUGAGAGGCCCCCCCACUCCGCGCCGGGGGGUGGGGGUUGGGACGCGCAGGCCCCGGCUUCCCGCCCUCGCCCCCGGCUCUCACCCGGCCCCGCUCUUCCCCCGCCCUGACGCCGCGUCCUGCACUGAGGCCUGACCCGGAAACAGCUUCUCGGCAACCAAACAUCACGUGAGCGCCAGCUGCGCGGGUCACGUGAGCAACGUGCGGGUGGGGAAGGGGGAUAACAGGGCGGUUACCAUGGAGACGGUGAGGCGUCGGGGCCUAGCUGGAGCCAGUCAGCCUAGUCCGGCAUGCAUUGCGCUCCCCGGGCCUGGAGGUCCCCCAGCCCAGACUCGCCCCCCCGGCCAGUGAAUGGGGCAGCAUCACAGGGCUGCAGUGACUUCACACCUCAUGACAUCACAGUCACACGGGGGUGACGUCAUAGAAUGACAGGGAGGGAGACCCCAAGCUGCUGUGUUGCAUCAUCUCUGCACAACAAGCUGAGCGCUGCAAAAAAGCAGCAAGAAAUACCCCUGGCGCAGGUAGGAAAAAAGCUCUCUGCACCCACAAGCAUGGCAGACCUUCCAUUCAGCUCCCAGAGCGCAGACACCAGCAGCACUAAGAGAUACCUGAGAGGGCACCGUGGGCAAAUCAGCUCAGCAAACUCUGGACUCCUGCCACAUAACAACGCACCUGUGAAACACAGCAGGUUUGGGAAAGGAGAGAAUCCAGCAGAGUAAUUAUUCCAGAAUAGUGUGUCCACAUGGGGCCAUUAGUGGAAUAGCUAUAGUGCAAUAGCUGUUCUGCUCCAGCUGGGCUGGUCAACUUCCCCAUGUAGCCAAGUCCUAAGAAACCUCAGCUGUUACUUUUGAUUAGAAUUUGGUAUAGAAAUCUGCAUUACAUUCACACACAUAUCUGCCCAGCUCCGUGCCAUCUGAAAUUACCAACAAACAGAUCCUCUUAAUGCGAGAGUGAGUUGUAUUGACACUUGACCCUUAGUACAGAGGCACUUAGCAGUGUCACUCUGGAUUUCAGGGUCCUUACUACGCUCUGACCUCCAUUUAGGCUGCCUAUAGACUAAGCCUGUCAUGGCUGAUAAAUGGCGCAGGAAUAAAACUGGAGGCUGUGUGUUCAUCUAGUCCUGGUUUAAUCCUGCAAGCAAUAAUCAGAGCAUCUCCUGUGAUCCUCGGGCUGUUUACUGUAGACUCUGGAAGAACAAUAGGUUUUUGGCAGACAAAUCAGUCAUCUUAACGCUUACCUGGGAAUAAGAGAAGUAUUUUUUCCAUGCUCAUUUGCAUUUGCUUUAGGCUUAGAAAUAAAUUACAUCAAAUCUCAGUUCAGCGAGAACUAAGCCUGGAGAAAGUCAAAGGACUAAACUCAUCAGCAUUACCUGGGCCCUAGGGAAGGGCUGAUGUGAGAUAGGAAGUGUUCUCUCUUUGGGGUCUAAAGCGACAUGAAUUGUUGGGGGGCCAAACAGAGCUGCAGAGAUACAGGGCCAGAUCAUCAACUGGUAUAAAUCAGUGUAGCUUGACUGAUGUCUAUGGAGCUGUGCUGUUUACAUGAGUGGAGGAUCUGGCUCAUAUAGGGUAUUAAACCCUCUCUGUGCUGCACUUCAGUUUGUGUCUAUAGUACACAGUUUGUCUAGAUCCCUAGCUGGUGUAAAUCCCUUGAACAUAACUCCCUUGAAGUCCAUACUGAUUUAUAGGAUCUGAGGAUUUGCCUAUUUAAGAAUGCUCGCAGCUCAUUAACAAAAACCUAAGCCUGUUAGAAAUGAUUCCAUCGUUAGUACCUUUAAAUUCCAGUGGGCACCUUUAAGCAAACAUUCCAUUGCAACCCUAGUGCAUGAGAACUGGAAAACAGAACUGACCAGAAACAAAAGUGAAACUGACUAGCCUAUUCUCCUUGGUCCAACUGAGAAAAAGGGAAUGCCAAAUAACGUAAAUAGUGCAAAAAGUAAAUAUUAAAUCUUUUCAGUUUUGAUAAUCCAAGCUGUUAUUUGUCACAGUGAUAACAAUGUUUGUUUUGAAACAAAUGGUUCAGUAUUUGAUGUGUGGUAUGAAAACAUAUCUAGAAAAUAUAUAAUCACAAACAUGACUGUGUCUGUCUUAAAGCUGGCCAGUGACAUUUGGGUCUUAGAGGAUUGACAGCUCUGUUGAUAACCACGGUGCUGGAAUAUGAAGAGGAGACUAGACUAUUGGGCUAAUAAAGUUAGCUUCCUUCCCUUUUAUUAUUGAUCUCUCUUUAGCAGACCUUUUUGGAAGCUGGUUUUAAGUUGCACUUUACACUGUUAAAUGGCUGCCAGGUUCUACCUGAGAAGCAGCUGCACAUUAAUGGGGUUUCAGCUGGUCCCUGCCUACAGUUUGUGAAGUACUUUUAUCCCAAAGAUGCAAUAUUAUUUGCUGUAAAAGGGAGUAUUAAUUCAGCUGGAAUGGAGUGCAUUCCUUCCUGAAAAAUAUCUGAGUUGUAUCCAUUGUACUGAUCCAACUGAUAAGAGACUGAAUUUCUCACCAUCGCAUCGAGUAUCAGAGGAGCCUACUUUUGCUGAAUUCAUCACUACUGCUUUCAGGUGUGUGUUUUCAAUCAGUUUGUGGCCAUCAAAUCAUAAUGGGAUUUCUGGCACUUUGGGUUCUUUAUAUUCUACUCAGCAGGCAUUUGUGCACAUUUAUCUUCUCCUUUACAAACUCUGUUCAAGUUCCAGCUUCUCCUUUAAUUUACAAAUUAUGCCCUCCAGCAUUUAGACUUUUCCCAGUACAGCAGCAGCAUCUUUGGAAGGGAAUUUAUAAGACACUGAACUUUCUGGUAUCAUGGUUCUCCCCAAUUUUUCUUUUAGAUCUCUAUUUAAAAUCUGGUUUAGAAUUUUUGCAGAUUUAGGGCCCAAUUCUGAUCUCAUUUAUGCUACUGUUGUAUCAGCAUAACUCUACUUGCUUCUAUGGAGUUACUCUUGAUUUUACACCAAUGUGAAUUUAGUAUCAGGCCUUUAAAUGUACAACCACAUCCCUAUUUCCCCUGAAGUCAAUAGAACUAUGCCAAUUUUACACCUGCUGGCAGUUGGGCCCAAAAGUCCUGUUAGAAGGGAUAGGAAGGACAAGUGGGAUAUUAUAGGUAAUUAGUUAGGGACAAAGAGAUCCAAAUCCAGUUAGCUGUGGUUUGUCUCUUUGAACAGGCAUUUUUUCCUGUUCUCAUAGGCAACAUAUAACAUGGUUUCCUUAAACUCAGUGUUGAACCCUGCCUCUGUUUCUCCUUUCUCACAUACCCCAGCGGACCAACUCACCAGCCAGCUGCAUCAAUGAAACAAAGCUCUUUCCUUCCCUUUUCCCAGGAACCUAUUUACUGUUCAAACAAACUCAGUCUAACACCAGUCAAAACAAGAAUACCAGGUCCUGUUGCAUGGCCCCUUGUAAGGUAUCUACUUCAGAAGGCUGCUUACACUUUCCCCACCUAGGUCUUUCACCUAGCUAGCAUUACAUUAAACCCUUUCCUUACCCUAGACCCACCCUGUAACUCUCAUCCCUGAGUUAACUUCCUGUCAGACCUUUCUCUCACCUAAAGGAAGGCAACUGAUUAAUCAUAAGCAGGAAGGCUGACCCUUAAAGGGCAACCCCAUCCUAUGACACCACCAUCAAGGAACAAUUUUGGUUCUGAAAGGGUUAAACAGUCUUCUUCACUAUUAUCCAGUCAGGAGAACUGAACUAAAAAGAGAUCUUUUUGUCAUUUUCAGCUUGCCAUAGUCCUGCUGGUUUGCAAGCCACAAAAUGUCCCUCUUGUGUUUUAAUGUUCAGUAACAACUCCCACGCUAGACUUGUGAAGGCCAUGGGUCCACAUCAACACCUUCCCAGUGCCCACAGUUAGUUACAGGCUAGACUUCAGGGGGAAGUGCUGAGUGAAAAAUUAAACUGCCUGGAGUGCAAAACGAGUGAAACUUUCAUCACAAAAGAAUCCCCAGUUUGAGUUAUUCUCAUACUAGAGCCUCUCCUAACCAGUAAGACUGGCCAAGCUGCAGGAUGUGUGUUUGCAUAUUAACAGGGGAGGAAGGUAACCAAAGGAAUUUAGGUAAUAGGAACACUCGGUUUACAUGCCUCCUGGGUUCAGCAGUGAAGCUCUUGUAAUGGACGAGGGAGGCAGGGGGCUCUGGUGAAACAAUUAAAAGGGAUUAAAGCCAAGUAUUAUAUUUUAAUUGAUCUAAUCGUCACCUCCCAGUGGAAUCCACAGAGCUAUCUUACUAGAAUUACCCCCAUUUUAUCAAGAGAUGGCUACGGUGGGAAAGUGCAAUUUGGAUGGCAAACCACUCCAAAUCUUGACCUUCAUUAACAUGUGAGUGGGAUUGGCCAAAUGAAAGAGGCCGUCAAAAUGGUUUCCAGGGUGAGAACAAAGAGUGGGGGGAGGGAGCGUCUGUUCCUGCUCUGUUUGUGUACUUAUACAUAGGCCAUACUUAUAGGAUGGGGACCUCUAUCCCAGAAAGCAGUGACUAUGAAAAAGAUUUGGGGGUCAUGGUGGAUAAUCAGCUGAACAUGAGUUCCCAGUGUGAUACUGUGGCCAAAAGUGUGCAUGUGUAAUGUAGGGCUGCAUAAACGGGAAUAGCAAGGAGGCAUAGAGAGGUUAUUUUACCUCUUUAAUUUGGCAGUGGUGCAACCGCUGCUGGAAGUUGAAGCUAGAUAAAUUCAGAGUGGAAAUAAGGUGUACAUUUUUAAUGCUGUGGUUUUAAUUUUUAAUUGGACCAUUGGAACAAUUUACCAAGGUUUGUGGCGGAAUCCCCAUUUUUAAUUCAAGGUGGGAAGGUUUUCUAUAAAAUAUGGUCUCAGAAUUAUUUUGGGGCAGCGCAAUGCCCUGUGUUCGACAGGUCAGACUAGAUGAGCACAAGGGUCCCGUCUCGCUUUUGAGUGUGAGUGCACCAUGUAAGCCCCUCCUCUGUGUGUGUUCUGAAAGACAUCAGCCAAGGCUUUCAAACCAAACCAGCUUUUAUCCAUCCACUACUAGUU